rnacentral:rRNA from 1 species
UAAACUAGGAUUAGAUACCCUAUUAUAUUUAAAUAAAUAAAGUAGUAAAAAUAAUCAAACUAAUUUAAUUUGGCGGCAUUUCAUCUAAUUAGAGGAAUUUGUUUAUUAAUCGAUAAUCCACGUUAAUUUUCACUUUAACCUAAAAUUUAUAUACCGCCAUUUUAAGAAUCAAUUUAAAAAUUUCUUUCUCAAUAAAUCAUAAAAAAUUAGGGCAAGGUGUAAUCUAUAUUAAAGAAUAAAAUGAAUUACAUUAAAUAAUAUUUAAAGAUUAUUUAUAAAUAUAUUAAUAUAAAUAAGAAUUUAAAAGUAAUACAAUAAUAAUA